rnacentral:rRNA from 1 species
UACGGAGGAUCCGAGCGUUAUCCGGAUUUAUUGGGUUUAAAAGGGUGCGCAGGCGGGCGCUUAAGUCGGUGGUGAAAUCUUGCAGCUCAACUGUAAGCGUGUCAUCGAAACUGGGCGCCUUGAGUGUGGAUGAAGUAGGCGGAAUUUGUGGUGUAGCGGUGAAAUGCAUAGAUAUCACGAGGAACUCCGAUCGCGUAGGCAGCUUACUAGGCCAUAACUGACGCUCAUGCACGAAGGCGUGGGGAUCAAACAGGA